rnacentral:rRNA from 1 species
CCGACCGCGACCCCAGGUCAGGCGGGAUUACCAG